UUAAAUUGAGAGUUUGAUCCUGGCUCAGGAUGAACGCUGGCGGCGUGCCUAAUACAUGCAAGUCGAACGAAACUUCUUUAUCACCGAGUGCUUGCACUCACCGAUAAAGAGUUGAGUGGCGAACGGGUGAGUAACACGUGGGCAACCUGCCCAAAAGAGGGGGAUAACACUUGGAAACAGGUGCUAAUACCGCAUAA
rnacentral:rRNA from 1 species